GUUAAGCGACUAAGCGUACACGGUGGAUGCCCUGGCAGUCAGAGGCGAUGAAGGACGUGCUAAUCUGCGAUAAGCGUCGGUAAGGUGAUAUGAACCGUUAUAACCGGCGAUUUCCGAAUGGGGAAACCCAGUGUGUUUCGACACACUAUCAUUAACUGAAUCCAUAGGUUAAUGAGGCGAACCGGGGGAACUGAAACAUCUAAGUACCCCGAGGAAAAGAAAUCAACCGAGAUUCCCCCAGUAGCGGCGAGCGAACGGGGAGCAGCCCAGAGCCUGAAUCAGUGUGUGUGUUAGUGGAAGCGUCUGGAAAGGCGCGCGAUACAGGGUGACAGCCCCGUACACAAAAAUGCACAUGCUGUGAGCUCGAUGAGUAGGGCGGGACACGUGGUAUCCUGUCUGAAUAUGGGGGGACCAUCCUCCAAGGCUAAAUACUCCUGACUGACCGAUAGUGAACCAGUACCGUGAGGGAAAGGCGAAAAGAACCCCGGCGAGGGGAGUGAAAAAGAACCUGAAACCGUGUACGUACAAGCAGUGGGAGCACGCUUAGGCGUGUGACUGCGUACCUUUUGUAUAAUGGGUCAGCGACUUAUAUUCUGUAGCAAGGUUAACCGAAUAGGGGAGCCGAAGGGAAACCGAGUCUUAACUGGGCGUUAAGUUGCAGGGUAUAGACCCGAAACCCGGUGAUCUAGCCAUGGGCAGGUUGAAGGUUGGGUAACACUAACUGGAGGACCGAACCGACUAAUGUUGAAAAAUUAGCGGAUGACUUGUGGCUGGGGGUGAAAGGCCAAUCAAACCGGGAGAUAGCUGGUUCUCCCCGAAAGCUAUUUAGGUAGCGCCUCGUGAAUUCAUCUCCGGGGGUAGAGCACUGUUUCGGCAAGGGGGUCAUCCCGACUUACCAACCCGAUGCAAACUGCGAAUACCGGAGAAUGUUAUCACGGGAGACACACGGCGGGUGCUAACGUCCGUCGUGAAGAGGGAAACAACCCAGACCGCCAGCUAAGGUCCCAAAGUCAUGGUUAAGUGGGAAACGAUGUGGGAAGGCCCAGACAGCCAGGAUGUUGGCUUAGAAGCAGCCAUCAUUUAAAGAAAGCGUAAUAGCUCACUGGUCGAGUCGGCCUGCGCGGAAGAUGUAACGGGGCUAAACCAUGCACCGAAGCUGCGGCAGCGACGCUUAUGCGUUGUUGGGUAGGGGAGCGUUCUGUAAGCCUGCGAAGGUGUGCUGUGAGGCAUGCUGGAGGUAUCAGAAGUGCGAAUGCUGACAUAAGUAACGAUAAAGCGGGUGAAAAGCCCGCUCGCCGGAAGACCAAGGGUUCCUGUCCAACGUUAAUCGGGGCAGGGUGAGUCGACCCCUAAGGCGAGGCCGAAAGGCGUAGUCGAUGGGAAACAGGUUAAUAUUCCUGUACUUGGUGUUACUGCGAAGGGGGGACGGAGAAGGCUAUGUUGGCCGGGCGACGGUUGUCCCGGUUUAAGCGUGUAGGCUGGUUUUCCAGGCAAAUCCGGAAAAUCAA
rnacentral:rRNA from 1 species